rnacentral:lncRNA from 1 species
GAUAGCCAUUCUUUCAUUCCCUUGUUGCCGCCCCAUGCUCUCCCAAGCCACUCCCACUCGAUUUUGUUCUUCAAAUAUUAAUUCCAUUGGUUUCCUUCAUCCUCAUAGCAUUAAUCUACAUAACAUUUCAAGAAAACACCCCAAAAUCUCAUUGAUUUCAUCAUCUUCCUUACUUGUGGAUUUUCUCAGAUUCGUGUCAAAAUUUCAUUUUUCUUCCACCGAAGGUAACCGUUCAUCUUUCUAUUAGUUUUAGAUAUUAUCUAGUCAUUAAAACUGAGUUUUUAAUCAUUAAAUCGCAUGUUUUGAUUAAAAGCCAAAAAUUGAAUCAUUAAUGGUGGAUUUUGGGAUUUUGAGUAAAAUUAUGGUUUCAAAGUAUUUUUCAAUUAGUUUUGACAUGAUUAUAAGGUUUCUAAACUUAAUUUAAAGUUUCAUUGAAGAUUUCCAACGUUUUAAUGAAUUUUUGUAAAAAUUGUCAUAAACGUGCCAAAAAUUUGAUGCCAUGAAUUGGGUAGUUUUGAGUAGUUUAAAGGUUGAGAAUCAGUCGUAGGUGAAUAAAUAGAUGAAUGAAAUUCAUUUUAAGAAAAAAAUUGAGUAUAAAUUGAGAUAUUUGGAAUUUAAGUUUUCUAUUUCGAAGGUUUCGAUUACUUGAGAACAUAGCUUAGGCUUAUUAUUUUGAUUGUUUAAGGUGAAUCCUUAGCUGAAUGUUGAUUGUAUUAUUGUGUGAAUUAUUGUGUUGAAGCUUGGGAUUUACUAGGACCUUCUACGAGUUAAGGAAAGACUAGUUUGAGCUUUCCGUAUUUCGACGAAAGUGUAUUGGUAAGUGUUUAGAAUAGCUGCCUGUGGACACGAUUCAAUGUGUUAAUUGGGAAUUUAGUAGCAGCCUAAACCCCUACUCUAAACUCUGAGUGUAAGCUUUCUCGUACUCAUGUUUAACUUGUGAAAUAUGUGUUUGUGUUAUUGUGAAAAUGUGGAUUAAGAUGAGAUGCUAAUACAUGUGUUAUGUGUUCAUGAUUAUUGUUGUGAAAGUGUAUAUGUAGGCAUGUCAUACAUGCUAAAUGACAGUGAUAAUAUUAUGCUAAUGAUGCAAAUACGCAGUUGAUAGUGAUGGGAUAAUU